CCUACGUGAGGCAGCAGUGAGGAAUAUUGGUCAAUGGACGAGAGUCUGAACCAGCCAAGUCGCGUGAAGGAUGACUGCCCUAUGGGUUUUAAACUUCUUUUAUAAAGGAAUAUAACGAGGCACGUGUGCCUUUUUGCAUGUACUUUAUGAAUAAGGCUCGGCUAACUCUGUGCCAGCUGCCGCGGUUAUACGGAGGAUCCGAGCGUUAACCGGAUUUAUUGGGUGUAAAGGGAGCGUAGGUGGGUUGUUAAGCUAGUUGUGAAAGGUUGCGGCUCAACUGUAGAACUGCAAUUGAUACUGGUAGUCUUGAGUACAGUUGAGGUAGGUGGAAUUCGUGGUGUAGCGGUGAAAUGCUUAGAGAUCACGAAGAACCCCGAUUGCGAAGGCAGCUUACUAAACUGUGACUGACAUUGAUGCUCGAAAGUGUGGGUAUCAAACAGGAUUAGAUACCCCAGUAGUC
rnacentral:rRNA from 1 species